rnacentral:rRNA from 1 species
UACGUAGGGGGCAAGCGUUGUCCGGAUUUAUUGGGCGUAAAGAGCGUGUAGGCGGCUAGGUAGGUCCGUUGUGAAAACUCGAGGCUCAACCUCGAGACGUCGAUGGAAACCAUCUAGCUAGAGUCCGGAAGAGGAGAGUGGAAUUCCUGGUGUAGCGGUGAAAUGCGCAGAUAUCAGGAAGAACACCCGUGGCGAAGGCGGCUCUCUGGUACGUGACUGACGCUGGGACGCGAAAGCGUGGGGAGCAAACAGG